AUACGGAGGGUGCAAGCGUUAAUCGGAAUUACUGGGCGUAAAGCGCUCGUAGGCGGCUUGUUAAGUCGGGUGUGAAAUCCCCGGGCUCAACCUGGGAACUGCAUUCGAUACUGGCAAGCUAGAGUAUAGUAGAGGCAAGUGGAAUUCCGGGUGUAGCGGUGAAAUGCGUAGAUAUCCGGAGGAACAUCAGUGGCGAAGGCGACUUGCUGGACUAAUACUGACGCUAAGGAGCGAAAGCGUGGGGAGCAAACGGGAUUAGAUACCCCAGUAGUCC
rnacentral:rRNA from 1 species